GGCACAGUGGUAGAGUGGUUAAUACGUGAGACUCGAAUCCCUCAAAUGCGGCCGUACCAGACCGCAUUGGGCAAAUUUAGACCAUCUCAUGCCUUCGGGCGCGUAGGUUCGAAUCCGAUCUGGACA